AAGUCCCAGUUCGGAUUGAAGGCUGAAAUUCGCCUUCAUGAAGCCGGAAUUGCUAGUAAUGGCAGGUCAGCAUACUGCCGUGAAUACGUUCCCGGGCCUUGUACACACCGCCCGUCACACCAUGAGAGUUGGGAAUACCCGAAGCCUGUGAGCUAACUUUUAGAGGCAGCAGUCGAAGGUAGAAUCAAUGAUUGGGGUGAAGUCGUAACAAGGUAUC
rnacentral:rRNA from 1 species